UACAGAGGGGGCAAGCGUUUGUUCGGAAUUAUUGGGCGUAAAGGGCGCGUAGGCGGUGCGGUAAGUCACCUGUGAAAUCUCUGGGCUCAACUCAGAGUCUGCAGGCGAAACUGCCGUGCUUGAGUGUGGGGAGAGGUGAGUGGAAUUCCCCGGUGUAGCGGUGAAAUGCGUAGAUAUCGGGAGGAACACCUGUGGCGAAAGCGGCUCACUGGACCACAACUGACGCUGAGGAGCGAAAGCAUGGGGAGCAAACAGG
rnacentral:rRNA from 1 species